UACAAUGGAGAGUUUGAUCCUGGCUCAGGACGAACGCUAGCGGCAGGCUUAAUACAUGCAAGUCGAACGGUCAGCAAUGGCAGUGGCG
rnacentral:rRNA from 1 species